rnacentral:lncRNA from 1 species
ACUGCCUGAUCAUGGCAACCUGCCAAAAAGUAUUCAGCCAAUGGGUUCUUUUAAGGAUACUGUCAAUUGUGGAGAGGCUGAUGCCAUUUAUAGCUCGAAAUGAUGAUCAUGCUCAGUCAGUGAGUGAGCAGAGUGUUUGUGACUUAUACGCACAAGUAUAAGCUCUUUAGUGGCACAUAGGAAUUCACAAUCAUUUCUAAAGGCAGAGGUCAAGGUUAGCUGCUUGAUUUAUACAGUUUUGACUGAAAACACAACUGUAGCACUGUUUCUGUGAACCAGAGAAGACAUGAAGUGUGGUUUCACCUCUAAAAACCAGGUCCACUGAGAUUUGAACUCAGAUCACUGGAUUCAAAGACCAUGGAACCACUGCUCAAAAAGAAGGCAUGACUGCCAGAUUGCGGCAUUAUGUCGACACCAUACCAGACUGAUAUAUAUAUGAUUGAUUGAUUGAUUGAUUGAGUGAGUGAGUGAGUUUGUCUCCACCUGCUGGGCGGCAGGAGUGUUUAGGGUGGAGGAUGUAGUUGCAAGUUGAGGUGGUGCAGGACAAGCAGAGCAGCAGGUUUGUGAGUGUUUUUGACGUCAAUUAAAAAGAUAAAUAAGGACUGAUGAGGCUGCUGUGUGAUGUAGAGACAGGUAUAAGGGUGUGUAUAAAGAUUGGGUCUCGCUGUAUUGCUCAGGCUGCGCUACAGCAUCUAUUCACAGGCGCGAUCCCACUACUGAGCGACACGGGGGUCUCGCUGUAUUGCUCAGGCUGCGCUACAGCAUCUAUUCACAGGCGCGAUCCCACUACUGAGCGACACGGGGGCUUUGACCUGCUCCGUCUCCGACCUGGGCCGGUGCACCCCUCCUUAGACGACCUGGUGGUGCCGGGCUCCCCAGGAUCACCAUAUCAAUGCCGAACUUAGUGCGGACACCCGAUCGACAUAGCCUGCUGCAGCUUAGAGCUCCUGAGCUCAAACGAUCCUCCAACCUCAGCCUCCCGGUAGCUUGGAUUACAGGCACGCGCCACCGCACCCGGCGAGAAGCAGCUGCGUUCACAGAAAGUUUUACUUCAUUCAUGUGAGCUCAUCAGGUUAGUGCCCAUCAUCAGCCAAGAUGAAAUGAUGUAAAAAACAAAAACAAAACAAAACAAAAAAACUCCUAAUCAUUUCAAAAUGAGGAAGUCAGCACAGUAAUAACAGGUUGUUGGUUUUUUGUUGUUGUUGUUUUGUUUUUUU